GACGAACCGUGCGAACGUUGUUCGGAAUCACUGGGCUUAAAGGGUGCGUAGGCGGCGCGACAAGUUGGGUGUGAAAUCCCUCGGCUCAACCGAGGAACUGCGCCCAAAACUGUCGUGCUCGAGGGAGACAGAGGUGAGCGGAACUUAGGGUGGAGCGGUGAAAUGCGUUGAUAUCCUAAGGAACACCGGUGGCGAAAGCGGCUCACUGGGUCUCUUCUGACGCUGAGGCACGAAAGCUAGGGUAGCGAACGGG
rnacentral:rRNA from 1 species